rnacentral:lncRNA from 1 species
AUUUAGCAUUUUAUCUCAGUCACACUUUAUUGCUUCAAAGCAUGCAGAGUUGGUAAGAUUCAUAAAAUCGAAUAUUUAGAUUUUAGUGGAAAUUCUGGGUUUGCGCAUUAUGAAAAAGAUUCAGCUGUCUAUACUAUUAUUUCGUUUGCUGAUUUUUUUUUUUUUUUUGAAAAAAAAAAACCAUAUUGGUUAUGACUUUAUCUUGCCGCCUCUGAUGUUGUGAUAUUGACAGGCAUGAGGCUGAGCUUGCCGCUGCUGCUAGUCAACCUCUUCCAGACGACGAUGAUGACACAUUUGAGUAAAGCUUUGAUAAGGAUUGCUUUUAGAAGAAGUUUUUAAUAUUUAGUGGCCAUGAUGUGUCUCAUGUCCAAAAUGAAUUUGGACCGACUUGUUUCUUUCUUCUGGGUUACAAUUUUUACCCUUUCGUCUCGAGUUUUCUUUUUUAUCAUGCUGUGCGGGGUUUUUGCUGUGUUUAUUCUUUUUUAUCGCGCCAAAAGCUCAAAGUUUAUAUUUGUAGGUCUUUAGUGUUGCGCUAUAUACUUAUAAUUAUCCUGCAUUGAUUGUUCGGAUUGAUAAUUCAGUUGCUCAACUUGGUCCGCAUGUUACUUUGUGUCGUAGUUUUAACCAAUGAUGCGAGGCUUUACAUUUCAAAAACAACCCAAGGGAAUAAAAUUGAAAGUUGUUCACAUUUCAAAUUUUGAUAUAGUUAAGUUUGUGAUUAACCAAAAAAUAUAAUGGUAGGUGCCUUUCAAAAGAAUAUUAGGAUAUAUAUAUAUAUAUAUUAUGGGAGUUUUAGCUUAUUUAGUUAUUCUUUCUCAGUUUUAUAUUUUUUUUUUUCAUUCUUUUUAUUAGUUUCAAAAUUAUUGUUAAAAUUCCUUCCUUACGCUGUAAAUUGACUAUUUAACUCUAUUUAAUUUAAGUUUAUUUUCAAAGAACUUUUAUUUUUUUUUAAUAUUUAAUAAAAUUUAACAUCUUGAAAAUUAGUUUAAUAGGAAAGUUAAUCAAAGGUUAUAUUAAAAAUUAUUUAUUUUUAAUAUAUGUAAAAAAGUAAGUGGAUAAAAUUUGAUUUUAAAUUAAAAUUAAAAUUAAAUGAAUAUAUCACCUCUUGGAGUUAAAUUUUAACACCCCUCCUUGUUUUUGAGAAUGGAGUCCUUCAAAGGUUUGGGCUUUCCCUUGUAAAAGGUGAUGAUUUUGGGAUGUCAUUCGAUUAUUUGAGAUAUUUAGUUUAUCGAAGGUAAAAUCGUUGAUUUCAUUAAACUGGCAGAUAAAAUACAAGGUGUAGGACCCAAAUAUAUAGUUGGUUUUAAAUAAUGCCACCCAACCUAAUAUAAAAUUACAAUCUUAAUUUUGAUGGAUGAGUUAAGUUGAACCAAUUACAAAUAAAUGAACAAAAAUUACAUUGAUUUCGGUUUAAAGGGCGGUGAAAUAAAAUUUAUCAAUGGUUGAGAAAAACACAAACUAGAAGAAAAAAGAAAAAAAGGGAGGGAGAUGAUGACAGACAUUACAAAAAAUUGAAAGAGGAAAAAAAUGAGAGAAAUAGAAUCAUAUAUAAACAAGAAAAGGGAAAUAGAGGAAUAAAAUCAUCAUAUAGACCAAAGGACCAUUUUAAAAAUGGAACAAAAAAUUUUAACUAUAUCUAUUUUACAAAAGAGAUGGAUUAAAAUAUUAAUAGUUUUAUAAAAGUUAAAAGUACAAUAAUAUUUUGUUAAAAAAAUCAACUAGACUGUUAACAUACUCAUUAGACUAUAAUUAAAUUAAAAUUUUUUAACUGACUUUUAAAUUCAUCAAUUUUUUUAUAAAUUUAAACUCAAUUCAAAUUUAAUUAGAAAAAUUUAUUAAGAAAAGAUUAAUUUAAUUGAGUUAAUGUUAAAAUAAAUCUCAAACAAUUCACAAAUUUAGUCAUUUACAUCUAUCAAGUCAAACUNNNNNNNNNNNNNNNNNNNNNNNNNNNNNNNNNNNNNNNNNNNNNNNNNNNNNNNNNNNNNNNNNNNNNNNNNNNNNNNNNNNNNNNNNNNNNNNNNNNNNNNNNNNNNNNNNNNNNNNNNNNNNNNNNNNNNNNNNNNNNNNNNNNNNNNNNNNNNNNNNNNNNNNNNNNNNNNNNNNNNNNNNNNNNNUCAUAAGAAGUUUGAAAAACAUGGAGAACUACAUACCCUGCAGCGCAACACAAACACGAACAAAUCAUUACCGCAAAUAUCAUUCGACUCAAAGUGUAGAUCCACCGCAUUCUGUGCACCACUUCACAGGCGAUUCAAUUUCAAAACAUGGUUAAAUUACUAUUUAAUCUCUAUAUAUUUUAAAAUUAACUAUUUAAUCACUUUUUCAAAAUUAUUUAAUUAAAAUAUUUAUAUAUAUUUUAUAAAAUUAAUUUUUAAUUAAUUUAUUUUAAUAAUGAUGAAAGAAAUUAAAUAAUAUAAAUAUUUAAAUUUAUAAAAAAAGUAAACUAUAUUAUUAAAAUUGUAAAAGCUAGAUAAUAUAAACAUUUAAAAAUAAGUGAGAUUAAAAGACUUGAUUUGAUAAAACAGACGUUUUUUGAUAAAUUUUGAAAUAGGGAUUAGGUUGUUAAUCUUAAUAAAAUACAGGGAUCUAAUAUUAAUUUACCGUCAAAACAAAUUAGGGUCUUCUUAAACCCCCCCUUUAUAAACCCCAGCUACAAGUUUCAAUUUUUCUCUCACUGUCUAGCCUUAUUCCUUGCGCACAUUCUCGUAGCGUAGCAGUUCAAACCUGCAACAAGAAGCUUAGGGACGAAUGGUAAAUUCUUUUUUCGUUUUUGAUCUCUGCGAUUUAUUCUUCUUGUAUAGAUCUGGAAAUGUACUGCAAUUUUCAGAUUUGCGCUACUUUUGCUCAUAUUGAUUUCUUCGAUCUAGAACAGUGUCGAAUUUUUAGAUGGGAAAUCGUUUUAAUAAAGAUGUUUUUUCCCUAUGUAUCAGUUUCCAUAGGAACUGAUAUUUUGAGCUUUUGUAAUGAUCGAUUUCUUCUUCUGGGCUGUAGGCUCUACCAAAUCAGCAGACUGUUGAUUAUCCUAGCUUCAAGCUUGUGAUUGUUGGCGAUGGUGGUACAGGUAUAUUGUUUUUCUAUUUUGUUUUAAUGAUUUCUUGAGCUGCUAGGUUAACCUGUACUUUGUCUUAUAAGCUUUCUAUUUUUUUGAAGCUUUCGAUUUUGUACUUCACCUGGUUAUUUUAAGUAGCAAUUGACAUUAUUAACUUUUGGGUAUGAUUCAUUUCUUAACCUCAGAUUAUGUGCCUUUCGAUUUCACAAUGCAGGGAAAACUACCUUUGUUAAAAGACAUCUUACAGGCGAGUUUGAGAAGAAAUAUGAGCGUAAGAACUUCCUUCAUUAUAUCAGUUCAAUCUCGUACUUUGGUCAUUUUUAAAUCAAUGUUAUAGUGCUGAUCUAUUUAAAGUAGAAGUUGGGAUGAAAGACUGUUUGCAUUUGCUGCCUUUUGUGACAUUAAUUCGUCCUUUUUAAACGCAGCAACCAUUGGUGUGGAAGUUCAUCCCUUGGACUUCUUUACAAACUGUGGGAAAAUCCGAUUCUACUGCUGGGACACAGCUGGACAAGAGAAGUUUGGCGGGCUUAGGGAUGGAUAUUAGUGAGUUAUUAAUUCCUUCUCCCCUCCAUGCUCAUUGCUUGAAAGUUUUGUGCGUAUAGUAACCAUUUAAUGUGUUAUGAACCGCAUACAGUUUGUUAGCUUAAUUUUGUAUUAGUUACUGUAAGGGGGGUCCUGCUUUUGUCUUCCUCAUCAUUAUAUAACUUGUUAAUUUUUAUAGUCUGUUGUUAUAUCACUAAAUCAAAUUUUGAUUCUUUAAUUGGACUUUAUAAUGAAAUUUUCCACCCAACUCAUGCAUCAUGAAGGUUAUGAGAAUUUAUUGUUGGUGUAGGUUGUUUGUCCAAUGUAGAUCGAGGUUUCUACAGGAUGUGAAUGGUCACUUGUGAAGAGAUUUUAUAUAGAACUUAUAUUCUUGAUUUUCUUUUUAGAUGGCCUCUCUUUUUUUAGCACGCUUUAUCAAAUGGUUUAUUUGAUUCAUUUUUCUUCUUUUUAUCUUUUUUUUUUUUCAUGGUUUCUUGAAUUGAUGUACCAUGUUUUUAUUUUUGGCAGCAUCCAUGGCCAAUGUGCUAUAAUCAUGUUUGAUGUAACUGCCCGAUUGACGUAUAAGAAUGUGCCCACAUGGCAUCGGGAUCUUUGCAGGUAGGUCUUGUUUUAUAUUAUGACGCUAUUCGUUUACUUACUUUUGGCAUAGUAUAGUGACAGUGUUCCUAUGUUCACAAAUUUUCAGGGUCUGUGAAAAUAUCCCUAUUGUUCUUUGUGGAAACAAGGUUGAUGUGAAAAACAGGCAGGUUAAGGCAAAGCAGGUCACAUUCCACAGGAAAAAGAACUUGCAAUACUAUGAGAUUUCAGCAAAGAGCAAUUACAAUUUUGAGAAGCCUUUUCUUUAUCUCGCAAGAAAACUUGCUGGGUAAGGGCAACUAUUGUCUAGUUGAAGAGCCUUCAUCAUAUUAAUUUUCUGAGCCAUUGGUAGGGAUAAUAGUUAAUAAUGUUGCUAAUGUUUUACUGCAGGGAUCCUAAUUUGCAUUUUGUUGAGUCUCCAGCCCUGGCACCUCCGGAGGUGCAAAUUGACCUGGCAGCUCAACAACAGUAAGUUUUAUGUUAUUUAGCACUAUCUCAUUCGCUUGUUACUUGAAAGCAUGCACAGGUAGUAAGAUUCAGAAAAUUGAAUAUUUAGAUUUUGGCGAAAUUCUGUCCCUGUGCAGAAUGAAAAUAUUCAGCUUUCUUUACUUUUUUCUUCUUCUGCUGAAUCCUUUUUUUUUUCCAAUGAAUGUUUUGAAUAUAACUUUGCCUUACCACCUGUGAUAUUUUGACAGGCAUGAGGCUGAGCUUGCUGCUGCAGCUAGUCAACCUCUUCCAGAUGACGAUGAUGACACAUUUGAGUAAUCUGCAAUGGCGGAU